CCUACGGGAGGCAGCAGUGAGGAAUAUUGGUCAAUGGCCGGAAGGCUGAACCAGCGAAGUCGCGUGAGGGAAUAAGGCCCUAUGGGUCUUAAACCUCUUUUGUCAGGGAGCAAAGGCGUCCACGUGUUGACGAGAGGAUAGUACCUGAAGAAAAAGCAUCGGCUAACUCCGUGCCAGCAGCCGCGGUAAGACGGAGGGGGCGAGCGUAAGCGGGAUUUAUUGGGUUUAAGGGGUGCGUAGGGGGAGUGUCUAGUCAGCGGUAAAAUUUCGGGGCUCAACCCCGUCGUGCCGUUGAAACUGACGAACUUGAGUGAGUGAGAGGUAAGCGGAAUGCGUGGUGUAGCAGUGAAAUGCGUAGAUAUCACGCAGAACGCCGAUUGCGAAGGCAGCUUACUGGCGCUCAACUGACGCUGAGGCACGAAAGUGCGGGUAUCGAACAGGAUUAGAUACCCCUGUAGUC
rnacentral:rRNA from 1 species